AACGAACGCUGGCGGCAUGCCUAACACAUGCAAGUCGAACGAGACCUUCGGGUCUAGUGGCGCACGGGUGCGUAACGCGUGGGAACCUGCCCUUAGGCUCGGAAUAACUCCCCGAAAGGGGUGCUAAUACCGGGUAAUGUAUUCGGACACAAGAUUGAUCGCAUUUGUUUGGGCCCGCGUUGGAUUAGCUUGUUGGUAGGGAAAGAGCCUACCAAGGCGUCGCUCCAUAGCUGGUUUGAGAGGAUGAUCAGCCACACUUGGACUGUGACACGGCCCAGACUCCUACGCGAGGCAGCAGUGGGGAAUAUUGGAAAAUGGGCGAAAGCCUGAUCCAGCAAUGCCGGGUGAGUGAUGAAGGUCGUAGGGAUGUAAAGCUCUUUUACCCGGGAUGAUAAUGACAGUACCGGGAGAAUAAGCUCCGGCUAACUCCGUG
rnacentral:rRNA from 1 species